UACGUAGGCAGCGAGCGUUGUUCGGAAUUAUUGGGCGUAAAGGGCUCGUAGGCGGUCUGUUGCGUCGGGAGUGAAAACUUACAGCUUAACUGUGAGCGUGCUUUCGAUACGGGCAGACUUGAGGCAUUCAGGGGAGAACGGAAUUCCUGGUGUAGCGGUGAAAUGCGCAGAUAUCAGGAGGAACACCGGUGGCGAAGGCGGGACUCUGGGCCGAUACUGACGCUGAGGAGCGAAAGCGUGGGGAGCGAACAGG
rnacentral:rRNA from 1 species